GACGAACGCUGGCGGCGUGCUUAACACAUGCAAGUCGAACGGAAAGGCCCCUUUGGGGGUACUCGAGUGGCGAACGGGUGAGUAACACGUGAGUAACCUGCCCUUGACUUCGGGAUAACUUCAGGAAACUGGGGCUAAUACCGGAUAGGAAUCCUUGCUGCAUGGUGGGGGUUGGAAAGCUUCGGCGGUUUUGGAUGGACUCGCGGCUUAUCAGCUUGUUGGUGGGGUAGUGGCUUACCAAGGCUUUGACGGGUAGCCGGCCUGAGAGGGCGACCGGCCACAUUGGGACUGAGAUACGGCCCAGACUCCUACGGGAGGCAGCAGGGGGGAAUAUUGCACAAGGGGCGGAAGCCUGAUGCAGCAACGCCGCGGGCGGGAUGACGGCCUUCGGGUUGUAAACCGCGUUCAGCAGGGGCGAAGCUUGUGGUGACGGUACCUGCAGAAGAAGCACCGGCUAACUACGUG
rnacentral:rRNA from 1 species